GAUGAACGCUGGCGGCGUGCCUAAUACACGCAAGUCGAGCGAACAGACGAGGAGCUUGCUCCUCUGACGUUAGCGGCGGACGGGUGAGUAACACGUGGAUAACCUACCUAUAAGACUGGGAUAACUUCGGGAAACCGGAGCUAAUACCGGAUAAUAUAUUGAGCCGCAUGGUUCAAUAGUGAAAGACGGUUUUGCUGUCACUUAUAGAUGGAUCCGCGCCGCAUUAGCUAGUUGGUAAGGUAACGGCUUACCAAGGCAACGAUGCGUAGCCGACCUGAGAGGGUGAUCGGCCACACUGGAACUGAGACACGGUCCAGACUCCUACGGGAGGCAGCAGUAGGGAAUCUUCCGCAAUGGGCGAAAGCCUGACGGAGCAACGCCGCGUGAGUGAUGAAGGUCUUCGGAUCGUAAAACUCUGUUAUUAGGGAAGAACAAAUGUGUAAGUAACUAUGCACGUCUUGACGGUACCUAAUCAGAAAGCCACGGCUAACUACGUG
rnacentral:rRNA from 1 species